ensembl:lncRNA
GUGACACUGAACCCCUCAUACUGAUUUCAAUCAGAGCAGUUCUCUAUUUGAAAAUCAGCAGUUCACAAAAUGGCUGAAAAUAUUUAUAUAAAUACUCCCAUGCGGCAUAAUCCAGGAUCAGCAGUGAAAGAUCAAAAUAAGAAGUGUGUUCUCAAUAAGAGGGAUGGUGUCUAUUUGGUGGUCCUUCUCUCUGUUCUCCUCUUUUUGUCUCUGCUGGCUACUGCAGUGUUGGCUCACCUGUGUGAGUGUCCUAACAUUUAAAUUGUAUUUGUACAUGUUGUGUUAGCAGUGUGUAUUGGUUUCUCUAUUUUAUGCUUCACAGAUUACACCAGUAACACAAAUCAGUUAAUAGGAUGUGAGCCACUGAAAAACAACUCAAAUCUAGGUUUGUAAACCCCAUUUUCUUAUUUUAUCAUAAAUAAAUGUUUCAUUUCUAAUUAAUUUAUCA